GCGAAUUCGGGAAAUGGCCAUUCUCCUCAGCGGCAAACCCCACAUAGUGUGCGAUAAAAAAAAAACAACAGGUGUCGGGAUUCCACUUGAGAGAAGAGUUUUCGUUGGCCCGUACGAGUUCAUUCGUCUGUUGUCCGAUCUGUCCCAGAAACUUUAGCAGCAGGUCCUGAUAACAGUAGAGAGUGAAAUAAGAAGAAUGCGGUGUUGGGGUUCAUGUCCAUACAUUCAUACAUUGAGAUGUGCACCGCUUCCCAACCGUCGGCGAUUAGGCCGCAGUGUGAAGAAAUUUGGAGAUCGACCGAUACACUUGUUGCAGUGCGGUACUCUUCACUUUACAAUACACAGUGCAACACCGCAGAUUCCAAACUACCACCCAAAAAGUGGAAUUUCUGGACGAAGACUGGCUCCCCCAGGAACAGUCCAAUCAAUAAUAAAAGACUACGGAGAUAAGCAAAGUUACAGAUAACUGCUUCCAGCUUACCGGAUCGAAUAAAGACGACGCAGUGCAGGAUAGAAUCCAAUUACCAUAGGGCACGACGGUCUAAGGUUAUCCGAAAGUUAUGAAACUCUCUUAUUCUUUUUUUUGCACAUCCGUUGGACGGAAGGAAAGCUGUUCAACUUUCGAUGAAGGUUCAUCAUAUCAUCACAACACAACAAUAUUUCACUCGGAUUCCUCUGGUCAACAGCAAUAAUUUGAACAAAACAGCCAGUGACCGAUAGACUCAACUCGAAGUUCUGGCUGUAGUACGAAGACUACCAACUUCGCAAACGGAAGCGUACCCGAAUGCGGAUUCACCGGGAAAACAUUCGCGUUGACACUAGCGAGACAGCAAUAUCAUGAAAAAAUUCUAAUGUAACCAUAAAAAUUCCAUAGAUUUUAUUAUUUAAGGUGUACAUUGAAUGCAUUGUGUGUUGAAUAUUAAAAAAAACGGUAGCUUUAUAACUUUUCAUUUAUAAGUAUUCUAUAAUAGUUACGUUACGUUACGAACGAUUAGAUAAACUAUUAGUGUGCUUCAAAAUAGAAUAAGGAUAAACUAUGUAUAUC